rnacentral:rRNA from 1 species
CGAUUAGGUAGUUGCUGGGGUAACGUCCCAACAAGCCGAUAAUCGGUACGGGUUGUGAGAGCAAGAGCCCGGAGAUGGAUUCUGAGACACGAAUCCAGGUCCUACGGGGCGCAGCAGGCGCGAAAACUUUACACUGCGCGAAAGCGCGAUAAGGGGACCUCGAGUGCGUGCGCAAUGCGUACGCUUUUCAGAUGCCUAAAAAGCAUCUGGAAUAAGGGCCGGGCAAGACCGGUGCCAGCCGCCGCGGUAACACCGGCGGCUCAAGUGGUGGCCGCUAUUAUUGGGCUUAAAGGGUCCGUAGCCGGACCAGUUAGUCCCUUGGGAAAUCUUACGGCUUAACCGUAAGGCUGCCAAUGGAUACUGCUGGUCUUGGGACCGGGAGAGGCAAGAGGUACCUCAGGGGUAGGAGUGAAAUCCUGUAAUCCUUGAGGGACCGCCAGUGGCGAAGGCGUCUUGCUAGAACGGGUCCGACGGUGAGGGACGAAAGCUAGGGGCACGAACCGGAUUAGAUACCCGGGUAGUCAUAGCCGUAAACGAUGCGAGCUAGGUGUCACGUGGAUUGCGAAUCCAUGUGGUGCCGAAGGGAAACCGUGAAGCUCGCCGCCUGGGAAGUACGGCCGCAAGGCUGAAACUUAAAGGAAUUGGCGGGGGAGCAC